ensembl:lncRNA
AAAUAUUUUUGUAUUCUUAAUUGUUCAAAUAGCAAAUAUAACAUUUUAAUUUUUUUGCAUAAUUUAUUAUAUUGUUUUUAUCUAUAAUAUAAUAUAAUAUAAUAUAAUAUAAUAUAAUAUAAUAUAAUAUAAUAUAAUAUAAUAUAAUGCCCCGAAGUCUGAUUUAAAACUCAAAUGUACUCAUCUAUUUCUGCACAGACAAUUUUAUGUAGUACGAGCUGGAUGGAAAUGGAAUUGCCUCUAUCCUGAACUGAAAAAGCUGGACAAACCUCCGCAAGAGUUGAGAGGAGGAUUAUGGGUAGGCGCUCAGCCAAACACUUAGAAUUUUGCCUGAUGACAUUGAGAUUUAAUGUGUUUAAUAAGCUCGCGAGGACUGUAUCUGGUACCCAGGGGAGCUGUGGAAAGCAGAUAUGUGUGUGAGCGACACAAGAUAGAGUUCAGAUGUUUCUUCUCGUUUGUCUUGGAGCUGAGCAUAAUCUGUCUCUCGGGUUUUAUUCGGUCUCAGCUCAUCUCUGGAUCACAGAACUGUGAGCUCCUCCCCUCUCGAAUGCUGUCAGAUCACCACAGCAUGAAGUUAGUCUCUUACACAACCCUCAUCCCUACUUAACUUUACCAUCUCAUCACCGUGCUAUCAAUCAACACACCUGUUUUUCUCUCUGACCUCCUAGAGGAACAUUUUAUUGCUCAGAGAUUGCUCUUUUAUAGCUCUGGAGACGUAAGUUCUUAGUUCUGUUUUAGUCUAGUAUCAACUUUGUCUCAGAUGUUUCUCCACAAUCGCCUUCUUGACAUAAAGAGGUAUAAAUCAGUGUGAAGAGUACCUAAGAUCUUUGGGAUGAAUCUGAUUUUUGAAAUAUGACUUAUGGUUGCAGAUUUGAUUUUCUUGGUCUUUUCUCAUGAGAUUUAGUCCAAAGUCUCUAUUUGAUCCCAUUUAAUCUCAUUGCUAUCUGAGAGAAACAACUGACAUACAAGAAACAUUAUUUAUUUAUUUAUUUAAGUACAGUUUAAGAAGUGUGAGCUUAUUCUGUGUUUUCUUCUUUCUCAAUCUCUUUGAAUGUUACUGCUAGAUUUCAUGUGUUUUUCUUAAGUUUUCCUAUGGGAGAAAAUAACAUCCAGAGGCAAAUUUGAUUGAUUGCUCAUGUUUCAUUAAUUUAAAGAUCAAUAUCAUCACAGAUGUUUCUCCUAAAGUCAUAGUCAGAGACCAAAGAAGAACUGGAUAAGAAUUAUUAGAGUUCAUAGUGAGACUUUUUUAUUGCAGACAUUCUUGGGUAUAGAAUCUGAGUAUAGAAACGUGUCAUUGGGAUGACAGAAGAAAAAUCAGUGAAGCAGGAAAAAGAGCUCAAAAAAGAAGCAGGAAACUUCUCAGAUUGAUCUCAUUGCUGUCAUGAAGAAACAACUAAAGACUAAAAGAGCUGGUGAUUUUUCGCGGGUGGGAUCCACUGCGGUGGAACUCUCCCUCGAACCUCAAUGUGCAGUCAUUCUCUCCUAAGACUCUUUCUACCUCACAGGCCUUUAGCUCCUCGCAAGAGCCGCAGGAACUCCGAGAGCCAUAAACCUCGACAUUGAUUAGAUGAGUCUGUGCGGCGGAGGGGAGAUUGUUUCCUGAUGGGCGGCAGAAUCAACCAGGAGGGGCCGGCAAACCGGGGACACAGCAGCAUCCUGAGCUGCCCUUUGAUGUGCCUGAUGAAUGCGGAUCAACAGGGAGUCUGAGAGAGAGAGAGACAGGCAGGGAGAGCUCUACCUGCUGGGGAUCUCUAAAGGAUUGAUUCCCUGUCGCUGCUGCCUGGAUGGUCGGAAAGAAAAAGGAAAAGCAAUAGAGAAAAAGUGAGCUUAAAAGAACCAACAAAGGCCGGCCACUUAGCAGAGUUCACUGCUGUGCUCCGGCUUCUAGAAAAUUCACUCUUUCUGUUGGUGUCACCAGGUGAACAGAGAGCAUGCUGGGAGCCGCAAACAUGUAAAGGAGUCUUUCAAUGCCACACAAUUACAAAGAGAGGAUUUGUAUUGAGUGAAUGGUGGUGGUCUGUAUUUGUUUUUCUGAAAGAUAUCACUUAUCUAUCUGUGUGUAGAGGUGAAUGCUGAGUGGAGGUCGGGAUACUUGAGCGGAGGUCACACUCGCUGGACUCUUGGGUUCAUCUUGAAGAAGUGUCAUGAGGGUAAAACAAAAACCUUCCUCCAUUGUCUCAGCAUACAUAAAACAGUUUAAGUACAGAACUGCUGUCCCCUGUGAAUAAUCCUCAGAGAAAUGUAUUUUUAAUAUGGUAGCCCAUUACUGACAUUUAUUUAUAUGCUGGUAAUUUUAAUAACCUCACUUUCAGUGGCUCUCUUUCUCCAUCUGACUCUCCUUGCACUUCUGUCUCCAUCUGUUGGUCAAUUUUUGCAUCCCUUCAACUGAAAUGGAAAUUCACCAUCUGAACUGAACUCAUUCACACUGCAAAGUUCUUCCUUUUUUCUAAAGAAUGCUUUUCAGCUGAACUGUUGUUCUAUCUGCUAUACAGCUGAAUCCCAAUGGUUACAUAAUUGAGGAAUUCUGCAUGGAAUCAGCAUCAGACUCAAGCUGAAUAACUACACUAUAUAACUCAAGCUGAAUAUCUACACUAUUCUGUAGUAGUUUACUAUUAGCUAAUCAGUAACUUUUUUCAUAUCUCCCAGAGAAAUAACUACUACAGUAUUCUACAGUGUUACCUAACCCAUCAGUUUCUUGCAUUUCUUGUGCCAUAACUGCUGUUGCAUUUAAUAUUCAAGCUUCCUGCAAAGCAGUCUUCAGUUCCAAAUAUCCUGCAGGUGAAAACAUGUAGUUUAUAUACUGCAGCAACAUGUAGUGCUGAGAAACCUUUGAUGGAGCAAAACAUGAAAAAUCCCCUCAGAGGGAGAAACCGGGAUCAAGGCUGGUGUUCUUACAUGCAGGUCACAGUACUCCAUAAAGAGAAAGGAAUCUGCCGUUCUCACUAACACAGAGAGAGGUAGUGAAAGAUGAGAGAGAGAGAGAGAGAGAGAGAGAGAGAGAGAGAGAGAGAGAGAGAUUUUUUUUGAUUUUUGAAAAAAACUUUAUUUACAAUUUUAACAGUAUCUUUUCACAAUAAGCUAACCAUAUAAUCCAUUCAACACAUUACACAGAGGAUACUAAAACCUACUGAAAUUAUAAAGAAAAAAACAAAUCACCUUCACAAACUGCACACAAAGCACCAUGACUGCACCAUAUCAAUUCAAAGGUUGAAAGAUCUCUCAUAGUUUUAUAAAACCGAAAAUCAAUCAAAACUCUAGAUUUUAUCAAAGUUAAAAAACAUACAUUCACAUCAUCGCUACACUUUUGUUCCACUCUAUUUUUCCUGCUGAUAUAAAUAGCCAUUUUUGCUUGCCCUAAAAUGAAAUUCAACAGUUGACAGGUAAAACGUUUUUUCUGAAAGUACUUAAAACCCAAAAUGAAAGUCUCAAUACAAAAGGUUUCAUCAAACCUACAAAACAAUUCUUUUAAUCUCACAAAAAAAGGUUCUAAUCUAAAACAAUGCAUAAAAGCAUGAAAAACAGUCUCCCUUUGAAGACAGAAAGGGCAAGCAGAAUUAACUUCUGGAUUCAGCAUCG